rnacentral:rRNA from 1 species
AUACGGAGGAUGCGAGCGUUAUCCGGAUUUAUUGGGUUUAAAGGAUGCGUAGGCGGUUUGAUAAGUCAGCGGUGAAAUAUUUCAGCUUAACUGGAAGGGUGCCGUUGAUACUGUCGAGCUUGAAUUUAGUUGCUGUGGGUGGAAUGUGUGGUGUAGCGGUGAAAUGCAUAGAUAUCACACAGAAUAUCGAUUGCGAAGGCAGCUCACAAAGCUAAUAUUGACGCUGAUGCACGAAAGUGUGGGGAUCAAACAGGAUUAGAUACCCUGGUAGUCCACACUGUAAACGAUGAUAACUCGCUGUCGGCGAUACAUAGUCGGUGGCCAAGCGAAAGCGAUAAGUUAUCCACCUGGGGAGUACGACCGCAAGGUUGAAACUCAAAUGAAUUGACGGG